UGCCCCAUGGCUGAGUUGGUUACAGCGUCCAACUGUUAUGACCAAACCCAGGCUAAAAGCACUGUUACCUUAACAUCGGAAGUUCGAGAGUUCAAGCCUCUCUGGGGGAG